rnacentral:rRNA from 1 species
UACGGAGGGUGCAAGCGUUAAUCGGAAUCACUGGGCGUAAAGCGCGCGUAGGCCGUCUUUUAAGUCGGACGUGAAAGCCCUCGGCUCAACCGGGGAACUGCGUUCGAUACUGGGAGACUUGAGUCCUGGAGAGGGUGGCGGAAUUCCGGGUGUAGGAGUGAAAUCCGUAGAUAUCCGGAGGAACACCGGUGGCGAAGGCGGCCACCUGGACAGGUACUGACGCUGAGGCGCGAAAGCGUGGGGAGCAAACAGGAUUAGAUACCCUGGUAGUCCACGCUGUAAACGAUGGAUGCUAGGUGUCGGGGAGCGAUCUUCGGUGCCGCAGUUAACGCAUUAAGCAUCCCGCCUGGGGAGUACGGUCGCAAGGCUGAA